GAUUUUGAUCCUUGGCUCAGGAAGAACCGCGGGCGGCGUGCCUUAACACAUCAAAGUUGAGCGAAGCAUUUGGGGACUGGAUCCUUUCGGGAUGACGACCUAAAUGUCUUAGCGGCGGAUGGGUGAGUAACGCGUGAGAAACCUGCCUUUUACAAGGGAAUAGCCUCGGGAAACCGGGAUUAAUGCCCUAUGACACAUUAACCUCGCAUGAGGAUAAUGUUAAAGCGUAAAGCGGUAAAAGAUGGUCUCGCGUCCCAUUAGCUUGUUGGUGAGAUAAAAGCUCACCAAGGCUAUAAUGGGUAGCCGACCUGAGAGGGUGAUCGGCCACACUGGAACUGAGACACGGUCCAGACUCCUACGGGAGGCAGCAGUGGGGAAUCUUGCACAAUGGAGGAAGCUCUGAUGCAGCGACGUCGCGUGAAUGAUGAAGGUCUUCGGAUCGUAAAGUUUUGUCCUAAGGGAAGAUAAUGACGGUACCUUAGGAGGAAGCCCUGGCUAACUACGUGCCAGCAGUCGCGGUAAUACGUAGAGGGCAAGCGUUAUCCGGAAUUACUGGGUGUAAAGGGUUCGCAGGCGGUCUUUUAAGUCAGGUGUGAAAGCCCAUAGCUUAACUAUGGGAAGCAUUUGAAACUAGAAGACUUGAGUCAAGGAGAGGAAAGUGGAAUUCCUAGUGUAGCGGUGAAAUGCGUAGAUAUUAGGAGGAAUACCAGUGGCGAAGGCGACUUUCUGGACUUGUACUGACGCUGAGGAACGAAAGCAUGGGUAGCAAACAGGAUUAGAUACCCUGGUAGUCCAUGCCGUAAACGAUGAGUGCUAGGUGUCGGGUGUCAAAGCUCGGUGCCGGAGUUAACGCAU
rnacentral:rRNA from 1 species